AGCGCGAGAAGUCGAAGGUAGGAGCAGAAAGCGGUGUUAGUAUUAGUUCUGGCCCGUUUGGACCCAAACUAAAGUGUAUCAGUAUGAAGCAGGCGGUGACGGCGCACUGAUUCACUCUCGGAGCUCGGUUCACUAAUGACCGAAUCACCGAGGAACCGACCAAAGAUAACUCACACCCGCACGAAGAAGAACAAGAGGAGGAGAAGAUGAGCUGGAGUGGGGCAAAGAGAACUGCAUUCAGAUCAAACGGAUACAAGAGAGGUGGCCGAGUUGUUUGAGGAUCUAAAGAAUUGAGUGUCACAAUUCAACAUGCACAUCAGCGAAACUUUUCCCUCUGACUACACCAGCACGCACGCACAGAAAUUCAUAGUGCAGGUGGUGAUUGCAGGCGCAUUUUAUCCGAACUGCUUCCUCCAGGGAGCUGUGGACGAGGAGCUCGCCUCCAAGGAACUCUAUGGAAACGACCCCAGGACCACCAUAGUGGUAUUCAGUGUGUAAUCUCCCUCCAUUUGCAUUCCUCUACUAUAAACAGCUCCAGUCUCUCUUCAGACACUGUGGUUAAAUCAAAUCCAUCUCCUUUGACAGCUCCAGGGCCUAUGUAGAGUUCUACCGCUCGUCAAUGAGAGGUUCUGGCGUUCUCCCAGAGGUCUCUCUGUCUCUCCUCCUCACGCAGCAGAGACUUCCUCUCCAUGUCAACGUUUAACCUGCUGGAGAGGUGGAGACUUGGGCAGGGGGGUAGUGUAUCUCACACCUCAGAUAUACACGGGUGAAUGUGGAUUUUCAGAAUCAGUCAGUGAGCCCUGUCAGGGUUCUGAGCAGCUCCAUUGAGUUGGAGAAUCUUCCGUCUAACCCUGUCUUUAUCGUCAAUAUCACUGAGGUGUCUGUUCCGCCUCUUUCACUUUCAGUGCACAAAUAAAAAAGAAGCAGUGGCUCCUGUGUGUGUGUGUGUGUGUGUGUGUGUGUGUGUGUGUGUGUGUGUGUGUGUGUGUGUGUGUGCGUGUGUGUGUGUGUGUGCACUAACAGGAGGUCCAGGUGCAGCCUUUGGAUAUUGAUGAAGAUUUACUGCCCCUGCAAGACCUUCCUCAACUGCGUAGUCUGGAGCAAAGGAUGCAACAGAGCCCAGAUUACAAGCAAAAUCUGGUAAACUGGUUGGCGCUUAUUGACGGGGUGUAUGUGCGUGACUGCACCUGGCGCAUAUUGAAGAGGGUGAUUGCUAACUCCCUGGAAAAGAAUGUCAAUUGGAGGGGAGUCAAUGGAAAGACUUCACUGUCCGCUC